CUGCGAUUUCUGCUACUUCUGCGAUUUCUGCGACUUACCACCAUAUGAAAAAGUUACAUCUGUCAACACAGAAAAUUGCAUCGCAACAAACCUGUCAUUGGCAAGCACUUGAACUACAUUUCAGUCACUCAGUAAAGUGAUAACUCAAAAUAUCAUUGUCAGCAGAUCUGAAGAAAUUUGCCACUGUGUCUUUAGACCGUUUUCGUCAGACGAGAGACGCAGUUCUGACUCUGAUUACUGGUUGCUGUACGUAUCUAUCCACAUCAAGGCUGUUGAGAGAGAUUCGUGAAGAUUCAAGACAGCUCUUAGAGGAUUUGCUGUUUAAAAGUGAAAUAAUUGUGAAAUAAGUGUGUGAAUGAUUAAACUGUGUUUUAUUGAAGUUGUUGUGCGAUUUUAAAGGCAUAAUAAAUGUUAAAUACAGUGAGUGAAU